AUGAUGAAUUGGAAACGAGGUACCGGACGGAGAGGUGCUCAUGGCUGUGAAUGGCAUGGUGCAGUGGACGGAGCACAGACCUGGACGAGGCCGGUGGUGAUGGAAACAACGAAGAGCAGCCUCCAUCACUGUGAGAUUGGAGUGCUGCUGGGGGACACCGUCAUCGCGGGGACAUACACACGCGCAAGUGCAGGAGAGUUCGGAGAAGGAAAGUACCUGGGGAAAAUGGGUGCAACGGAUGCAGAGAUGGUUGGUGGGAAUGCAGACUGGUCAGCAGCUCUGGAAAACAGUAUGGAGUUUCCUCAAAAAACUAAAAAUAGAACUACCCUACGACCCAGCAGUUGCACCACUAGGUAUUUAUCCAAGGGAUACAGGUGUGCUGUUUCAAAGGGGCACGUGCACCCCAAUGUUUAUAGCAGCACUGUUGACAAUAGCCAAAUUAUGGAAAGAGCCCAAAUGUCCUUCUAUGGAUAAAUGGAUAAAGAAGAUGUGGUAUGUAUAUGUAUAUGUAUAUGUAUAUGUAUAUGUAUAUGUAUAUGUA
rnacentral:lncRNA from 1 species